rnacentral:rRNA from 1 species
AGGGAAUCUUCCGCAAUGGACGAAAGUCUGACGGAGCAACGCCGCGUGAGCGAAGAAGGUCUUCGGAUCGUAAAGCUCUGUUGUCAGGGAAGAACAAGUGCCGUUCGAACAGGGCGGUACCUUGACGGUACCUGACGAGGAAGCCACGGCUAACUACGUG